CAACAGUAGCCACGGGAAUACAGAGGGUGCGAGCGUUAAUCGGAUUUACUGGGCGUAAAGCGUGCGUAGGCGGCUUCUUAAGUCGGAUGUGAAAUCCCUGAGCUUAACUUAGGAAUUGCAUUCGAUACUGGGAAGCUAGAGUAUGGGAGAGGAUGGUAGAAUUCCAGGUGUAGCGGUGAAAUGCGUAGAGAUCUGGAGGAAUACCGAUGGCGAAGGCAGCCAUCUGGCCUAAUACUGACGCUGAGGUACGAAAGCAUGGGGAGCAAACAGGAUUAGAUACCCGAGUAGUCCCUGUCUCUUAUAC
rnacentral:rRNA from 1 species